GACGAACGCUGGCGGCGUGCCUAAUACAUGCAAGUCGAGCGGAAGUUGAAGAGCUUGCUCUUCAACUUUAGCGGCGGACGGGUGAGUAACACGUGGGCAACCUGCCCUGCAGAUCGGGAUAACUCCGGGAGACCGGUGCUAAUACCGAAUAGUUUUCGCCACCUCCUGGUGGCGUACGGAAAGACGGUUUCGGCUGUCACUGCAGGAUGGGCCCGCGUGCGCAUUAGCUAGUUGGUGGGGUAACGGCCCACCAAGGCGACGAUGCGUAGCCGACCUAGGAGGGUGAUCGGCCACCCUGGGACUGAGACACGGCCCAGACUCCUACGGGAGGCAGCAGUAGGGAAUCUUCCGCAAUGGACGAAAGUCUGACGGAGCAACGCCGCGUGAGUGACGAAGGUUUUCGGAUCGUAAAACUCUGUUGUUAGGGAAGAACAAGUACCAACUAACUACUGGUACCUUGACGGUACCUCACCAGAAAGCCACGGCUAACUACGUGCCAGCCGCCGCCGUAAAAC
rnacentral:rRNA from 1 species